GAGGGGGAUACAAUCCAUGCUUGCUCUCCUCACCCCUCAAGGUGGUUUGAGGGUCAGAAGACAAUCCUCUGCUGGACUAGAAAGGUCCAGCUCAGAUGUCACCUCUGUGAAGCCUUCCUGGAUCUCUUCCAAGUGGUGUAGCCACCCUCUGCUUUGGAUUCCCCGGGGCACACACUUGUCAAAUGAGAACCCCAGCCUGCUUUCUGGGACUGCAAGACUGCUGACAGCAAAGGGAUGAGAGACAGGAGGGGCUUGCUGUUGCUGACCUCAUGGACAAGAGCCACCUUCCCGUGCACAAGGAGACCUGCUGAGUGCCAACCAUCCUCAGGUACUAGGGUUCAGUCAGAUUCAAGACUGUCAUCAGGAAGCCCACAGAAGAGUAGAUGGAGACCCAAGUAAACAAGAA